UGUAGAGCAUUUGUGGUGCUUUAGCUGUAUAGAAUAGAACUUUUAGAUAGUCUUCUCUUCAGUUUUGUUUCUUCCACUGAAUAGAAAUGUUCUAAAUUAAAAAGAUUUAAGACUUCAAAAAUUAUUCUAUCUAUAAAAUUCACAAUUCUCCCCAUUGAGAAGUCAUCAUAACUGGCAGACAGAUACCAGUCUUUUCAAUACACUUUGUAACUCAGGGUUCCAUAGUAUAAAUCUGAUACAAUAUAUUAGCCAGAGGUCCAUUUCACAAAAAGCCUCGAGUUUCUGGGCUUUGGUUUUGACUGCUUUCACUGGCCUGUAGGCAUGGCAUGGGAUCAGAAGAAUUGCCUUGUGGACAGGAACAACAAAGUUCUCUUUGAAUCAAAAUUUAAUCUUGAUUUCAAGCCAUUUCUCAAGUUUCCAAUGGAAAGAGAAUCCUGCCCACAGGCCUGAUAAAUACCUUAUGAUAGUCGACUACAUUCUGUCAACAUUGGGAUGUAUUUUCUAGGGCAUUUUUACAAUAUUCACCCAAUAACUAUAGUUGACAUACCUAACAGUAAAUGGGCUACAGUAACCAUUGAGAGUAAAAAAAAAAGUUUUAACAUUUUUAAAUAGUCACAAAAAUUACUCAGGGACUUAGUUUAAAGGCAGAAAAAAUAAAAUGUGUGGUUUUUAAGAUUCUCUGUGAAAUGCAACACAGUUGGCUAAGAUUCACUGCAGUUUCUCCUAAUAGGACUGAUCUUACUAUUUUAAGCAUUUUGUAAAACAGACCCUCUGCUUUAAGUCAAUUGUAUGAUAAAAGUAAAACACUUGGUUUUAACCUUGUUUUGAUUAAAUUUUAACUUUGUUUUACAAAAAAUAAGACCAAAACCCACACAUCCAUUUUUCCAAAAAGUUUAAGAAUUGAGAGGAAUAUGUAAACAAUUGCCACAGGAAAAAAAUUCGUGCAUUAUACGAAAUUUGCUGUUGUGUCACUUGGAAAAGUGCAAAAUAAAUUAAAAUGUUAAAUAAAUUUUACUUGGCACAAAGAAAUAUUUCAGUGUAUUCAUGGAGAUGUAUUAUACAGAAUGGUGCUGAACAAGAGAG